UACAGAGGGGGCAAGCAUUGUUCGGAAUUACUGGGCGUAAAGGGCGCGUAGGCGGCCUUCUAAGUCGAACGUGAAAUCCCCGGGCUCAACCCGGGAACUGCGUCCGAUACUGGAAGGCUUGAAUCCGGGAGAGGGAUGCGGAAUUCCAGGUGUAGCGGUGAAAUGCGUAGAUAUCGAGAGGAACACCUGCGGCGAAGGCGGGUAGCUGGGCCGACACUGACGCUGAGGCGCGAAAGCUAGGGGAGCAAACAGG
rnacentral:rRNA from 1 species